rnacentral:rRNA from 1 species
CCUACGGGCGGCUGCAGUGGGGAAUUUUCCGCAAUGGACGAAAGUCUGACGGAGCAACGCCGCGUGGGUGAAGAAGGCCUUCGGGUUGUAAAGCCCUGUCUUAUGGGAAGAAGAAAGUGACGGUACCAUAGGAGGAAGCCACGGCUAACUACGUGCCAGCAGCCGCGGUAAUACGUAGGUGGCGAGCGUUGUCCGGAAUUACUGGGCGUAAAGGGCGCGUAGGCGGUUAAUUAAGUCAGGUGUGAAAACUGUGGGCUCAACCCAGAGACUGCAUCUGAUACUGGAUAACUUGAGUGCAGGAGAGGGCAGUGGAAUUCCUAGUGUAGCGGUGAAAUGCGUAGAUAUUAGGAGGAACACCAGUGGCGAAGGCGGCUGACUGGACUGUAACUGACGCUGAGGCGCGAAAGCGUGGGGAGCGAACAGGCUUAGAUACCCUGGUAGUC